GUGUCAUCUUCACAGUCAUCAGCAACACUUAUACUAAAAUUGGAACAAUACAAGCAAGAUUGGUAUGGCCCCUACACAAAGAUGACAUUGAGCCCGUUGUUACAGCCACUGAGUCA
rnacentral:snRNA from 1 species